UACGUAGGGGGCGAGCGUUGUCCGGAGUUACUGGGCGUAAAGCGCACGCAGGCGGUCUGCUAAGUUUGGAGUGACAGUUGGUGGCUUAACUGCCAAAGUGCUUCGAAAACUGACAGACUUGAGGGCUUCAGAGGGACACGGAAUUCCGGGUGGAGUGGUGAAAUGCGUAGAGAUCCGGAGGAACACCAAAGGCGAAGGCAGUGUCCUGGGGAGUACCUGACGCUCAGGUGCGAAAGCCAGGGGAGCGAAGCGGG
rnacentral:rRNA from 1 species